AAUUUCCAUUUUAUAUCGCUUACAUUUAUUUUAACUAGCCACCCUAGUCAAAGGAACUGAUAAAUCCUCAGAUGACAAUACAGAAGUACGGAAAUCAACUGAUAAGCUGAUACUUUCACACAAGGAUGGUGACUAUGCAUUCAAUACGCAGUUGAAAGAAUUAAAGAUAGGGCAUUUCUAAUUUGUUAACGCUAUGGAUACUGCACCAUUAAAAAACCGCAGAAUAGUAAUUUCACCCCAUCAUGAAAAUUAUGGUUCAGGUCAAGAAAAUUCCUACCUGCUUCAAUUCAGCUGAGUUUUGAAUGUGUACUGAAAUGCCUACCUAAAUGUAGGUAGCUCCCAUGCCCCUGUCAUGUCACUUCUGUGAGAAGUUUCGCAAAGUAAUCUUGUACCUAUUUUAAGGAAGAAUUAAUGAAACUCACCGAUGUAGCACUUUCCCAGCGUACUGCUAGGAUUAGAUUCAGGCAUGGGGGAAUGAUAUUGUCAAGGGUACCGAAGUAGUAAUGGAGCUCCAUAGACUGAUUUUUGCCAAAAAAAUAAAUUCAGUAAUUUGAUUAAAUCAAAUCAAUUUUGUUCUCUUACUAUUUGUCGGGAUUGACUUUGAGUUUCCCAGAAUACCUUUUUGUUUUGGAUCAAAUCGGCUGUUCAAACUAAAAUUGUUGGCUCCAUUUUUUAUUUUGACCCCAUAUCGAGUAUUCAAGGCUCCUGAGGCUAUUGUUUACUUUGAAUGUAAGGAUGAUAUGUCAUCAUCAAAAAUCUUAACCAUAAUCCAAUCAGGUUCGAUUGCCAUUCCUCAGUGAAUGGUUUAAGUUUGUGUUUUUCCGGUUGUUGUCGAGUUAAAGUGUAGAAUUGAUUAAAAAUAUUUUGUCUAGGAGGAAUAAAAUGAUUUAAGCACAAUCCAACCUAACCCUCCAGUGAUUUCUUAAAACUGAGUUUUUUUCAGUAAUGAGAUGAGAUUGUUGGUGAAGGACCAAAGUAAAUCUCUCAUUCAUUCUAAAAUUUAUUUCACUAUCAUCAUUUGUACUUAGUUUUAUUUUUGCCAACUGACAAUUUUGGAAGUUGGGUGUUUCUCUAAAACCUUAUUUUCCAAAUUUGAUUUAUUUUCUCUUGAUGAGGAUACUAGUGCUCAAGGCAACCAAUGAAACUUUUGCAAUCACAAUUUCUUGAAUGAGGUUUGUUGGAGUGGUUUCUGUAACAACAUCAGAAGAUUAAAAAUGGUCAGUAGUGCAAGUGAAUUGCAUUUAAUCUCACCCCUAUUACUUUAGAUCAUGACCAAAGUACUUCUCUUAAUGUUUCAAAUAAAGCUAUCAACAAAAUUAGCACCAAUUUUACUUCCAAAAUUAUUGGUUGGCACUUGGGGCAUGGUAUUUUUGCUACUUGAGCGCGAAAAAUUGACUAUCAGGCUUAAAUAAACUGGGAGUUAUAUUGUGUGAAAACAGAAAGUUUACUGUUUAAAGAUAAUGAAUCAUGUAGGUACUUGAAGACAAUUUUGAGUAUAAUUAUUGUUAGCAAGUAAGUAGCGACAGCUUUUUUUGGGAGAAAUUUUGAGUUAUCCAUCAUUUCCAUCCCUUGAUAUUCAGCAAGUGUUCCCUCCAUGUUGACCCCUUCAAUAGUUUUUUUUGGUGACUGAUUUCCAACAAAACUUACAGUUUUUUUUUGUUCGUCAGUUACUUCCUUCUUCAUUGAAUGUUUUUUUUUUUUUCAAUUUUGUUGUCAUCCCAACCUAGCUGAAUCAGCCCAAAAGGAAAGGAAGUUCAGAUCAAACUUAUUCAAUGAGACAAAAGGAACUUUAGAAAAUUAUUACAUUUUCACAAUUUUCAACAUCCCUCCAUACUUCUUUCAUAGCGUAUUAAUGCAUAACAACCCUUUAAAAAUAACAGAAUCGUGAUCGUCGAAGUCACCUCACUGUGACAUUUUCCCUCAAAUUUAUUUUUGAGCCUAACUUGAAGGUUUUUAAGGAAAGAUGACAGCAAAAUUCUGUCUGCCGAAUAGCAGGGACAAUCUAGGUAACUCUUCUUUACACACCUCUAUGUGACCCAUGAAAUUUCUUUCUCUUUUUCAUCCUCCAAGCAUUAACCUUAAUUUAACAAGUCAUGAUCAUUUUUUCAGAUAUCCUCUUAAAAUAUGUUCCUAAUUUUACACAUUGUAGAUUUAAGUACCUACCUGAAAGGUUUUCAUUUUCCUACAAUUUUUUGAAAUGUUUCUUCUGAUGGUAAUUUACCUGGUGUGAAGUUACCAUUAUUGGUCACCAUUAUGGUUUCCGUUGUGUAAGUAGUUUUGCAUGCCUCAUCUUUCUCCAUCACACGGCAGCUGAGCCCAGUCACCGUCACGUAUGUAAAUUUUUUUUCCAAUAUUUCAGUUUACCUACCCUCUAAAGGUCAAACAUCAUGUUACAAUGCAUGUUGUGAAGUGAUCAUCGUUUCUCUGUGAGUAUUGUCUGGCUUUUUUCUCUUCAGCAAUUGUCUGAUACAAGCUACAUUCAGAUUUUUAAAGGUUCAGCGUUGGUGCAUUGAAUAUUGGGAGGCCUUGUUAGUUGAAUGAUGUCCUAGGGUCUUUGCAGAAAUAUCAUGUCAUCAUUGUUUAAUGUUCAAGAGCUUAUAUGAAGCCUUUGUUCUCAGGUGGAAAAAUAAAGUCUAUUUUGCCUCAACUGUUUUACCUACAGUGUAAUGAAAUGUUCGUGGUUUGAAAUUGAUGUUCGGAAUAGUCUAGUUUUAGCUGCCUUCACUGAUUUUUUGGUGACAGAUGUUGAAUUGUGAAACAGCGUUUUUUUAAAACAUCGGUUUUGGUUUAAGUUGAGUAGCUUUGUUUUCUAUCAAAGAAUAGGGGAAUAAAGCAAUGUAAGCGAUUGGAAAGCUAUUGGUUUCAAUCUUUCUAUCUUUAGUGUGUACUUAAUUAUCCUGAUUUGUAGUGCGUUUCAGCUCUCUCUUCGUUUAUAUUUGUGAAGGGAAACCCUUAGAUGCAUUUCAGGAAGUUAGGACCCAUAGCAAAAUAAGUUUUUCACCACACAAAAUUUGAUGAAGGUUCCCUCCAUUUUCUAUUGUAUUAAAGGAAAGCUAGUUCUUUAACUGACAGUCAUGCUUCAGUAGUCUUAUGUAUUUUGGAGGGUACCAUAUCUGUCUGUAUGAUUUAUUUAUUUACUUCGCUCACUGAUAAAAGCCACUGGCAAAACUGAAAAGAAUAUAUCAGUAAGAUGAGCAGGACAUAAGAUGAACUAAAAAUUAGAACCUUUUAGGUACUUAAUUUGCUGCGAGUGUGAGGUUUUCGACGUUUUUUAAUUUUAUCCUUAUUUAAAGAGGUAUAAUAAAUCCUCUUUUUUAAAAUUUUGAAAAUUUAAUAGGUAAUUAUUAUUCAUCAUUCAUAAUGUGUAAGUUCUUAACUUAACUUUUCAAGUAUCUUUCAGAAGUUCUGUUUUAUUUUUACAAGUUUUUUUUCUUUUUUCUGGUAUCUAAUUUUUGAUAUUAUACUUGAAGAGAUGACUGCAAAAACAGCCCACACACAAAAACCUCGUUUAAGAAUAAUGCAUUAGGAGUUUAAAAUUGUCAAUAACUCGUUGAGUUUUUGAGAAAAUGAAUGAGUUUUCUAGAAUUCCCAUAGUUGGGUAUACAUGAAUGAAGAAAUUACUAAGCAAUCGUUUUGCCUCAUCUCAAAGAAUUGAUUGAGAAUGUUAAUGUAAUCAUUGUGCACACAUGCAUCCACUACUUAGGUUGUACUGAAAGCUAAAAUGAAGGAAAGCUUGAUUCUUACUUUGGAUUGAACCAUUUUCAAUAGUUUUUGUCCUUGUCUGGGAUUUGUCAGGCUGGCUCUAUGUUCUUACUUUAAUCGGUAGAUCGAGUUUAACUUUCCCCCCUGUACCUCGGUCUUGUAUGUAAUAUUGAUACCAGUAAUUGGAAUCAGUUGAAUCUUUUCGGGCAAGUCAUUAGUUUCUAUCAGUUUUCUUCGACAGACUCAGGCGGUUCAUCGUUGUUAUCCAAAGCGUAAUGAUAGAUCUUCAGUCACUUGUGAGUACCUCAAUUUCUUUAUUCUUUUUUUAUAACUCAAACGGAAAACUCAAGCAUCUCCGACUCUGUAUCAAUCAGACGCUAACA